rnacentral:tRNA from 1 species
GGAUGCGUGACUGAGUGGCUGAAAGUGCCCGACUUAUAAUCGGAGUGGACCCCUCUAGCUUGCCGGCGACCAGGGGUCCCGUGGGUUCGAAUCCCACCGCAUCCACCA